UAGGAAGCUUUGACGGGAAUCAGUAGUAUGUUAUCUCCCUGUAAACAGAGAGCCGAUGUGAGGUGUGAAUCGGUACAAAGAUAAAUAUGAAUUACCUCCCUGAGCUUUCUUUGUGAACACAGUGAGUAGCAAAGAACGGAGCGAACCGUUAUUUCGUUGAGUGGAAGAAGAGAUUCUUCAAUUAGGGUGGUACCGCGUGCAAGAAACCACGUCCCUUUU
rnacentral:ncRNA from 1 species